rnacentral:rRNA from 1 species
CACGUAGGGUGCGAGCGUUGUCCGGAAUUAUUGGGCGUAAAGAGCUCGUAGGCGGUGUGUCGCGUCGGCCGUGAAAACCUGCAGCUUAACUGUGGGCGUGCGGUCGAUACGGGCAUCACUGGAGUUCGGCAGGGGAGACUGGAAUUCCUGGUGUAGCGGUGAAAUGCGCAGAUAUCAGGAGGAACACCGGUGGCGAAGGCGGGUCUCUGGGCCGAUACUGACGCUGACAGCGCGAAAGCUAGGGGAGCGAACGGG